rnacentral:rRNA from 1 species
GCCCAUAUUCCUGCGGGAAGCAGCAGUGAGGAAUUUUUCACAAUGGACGAAAGUCUGAUGGGAGCCUACCACGUGAACGAUGAAGGUCUUCUGAUUGUAAAGUUCUUUUAUUUAGGAAAAAAAGCGCUACAGGAAAUGGUCGCGCCCUGAUUGUACUAAUUGAAUAAGUGACAGCUAACUAUGUGCCAGCAGCUGCGGUAAAACAUAGGUCACGAGCAUUAUCCGGAUUUAUUGGGCGUAAAGGAAGCGUAAGCUGAAGUGUGUAUCCAUUGUUAAAAGUACUUGCUUAACAAGUGUUCGCGGUGGAGAUUACACUUCUAGAAUUAGUUAGAGGGCACUGGAAUUCAAUGUGUAGUGGUGGAAUACGUAGAUAUAUUGAGGAACACCGGAGGCUAAGGCGAGUGCCUGGGACAUAAUUGACGCUGAGGCUUGAAAGCGUGGGUAGCAAAUGGGAUUAGAUACCACAGUAGUCCACGCCGUAAACGAUGGGUAUUAGUCAUUUGAAUUUAAGUUGAGUGAUGUAGCUAACGCGUUAAAUACCCCGCCUGGGUAGUAUAUAUGCAAAUAUGAAACUCAAAGAAAUUGACGGGGACCUGAACAAGUGGUGGAGCAUGUUGCUUAAUUCGAUAAUACACGCAAAACCUUACCAAGGCUUGCAAUCUUCUGCAAAGCUAUAGAAAUAUAGUGGAGGCUAUCAGAAUGACAGGUGGUGCAUGGCUGUCGUCAGCUCGUGUCUUGAGAUGUUUGGUUAAGUCCCGUAACGAGCGCAACCCUUCAUAUUAGUUGUUUAGUUCUAAUAAGACUGAGUCGUAAGAUCUAGGAAGGAUGGGGCCAAGUCAAGUCAUCAUGCCCCUUAUGCCUUGGGCUGCAAACGUGCUACAAUGGUAGAUACAAUGUGUUACAAUCUAGCGAUAGUGAGUUAAUCACCUAAAGUCUAUCUCAGUCCGGAUAAAAGGCUGCAAUUCGCCUAUUUGAAGAUGGAAUCACUAGUAAUCCCGUAAGG